AGUUUUACCCUACUGAUGACAGUGUCGCAAUAGUAAUUCAACCUAGUACGAGAGGAACCGUUGAUUCGCACAAUUGGUCAUCGCGCUUGGUUGAAAAGCGAGUGGUGCGAAACUACAGUGCGCUGGAUUAUGACUGAACGCCUCUAAGUCAGAAAACGGGCUAGAAGCGAUGCAUGCGCUCGUCGUCUGCUUGCCGACCCGUAGUAGGGGCCUUUGGCCCCCAAGGGCACGUGUCGUUGGCUAAGUCAUCGCAGCGGAAGAGCCGCAGUGGCCGCCUUAAAGUAUAAUUUCCAUCGAGCGGUGGGUAGAAUCCUUUGCAGACGACUUAAAUACACGAUGGGGUAUUGUAAGUUUCAGAGUGGCCUUUCUGCCACGAUCCACUGAGAUUAAGCCCUUUGUCGCUCUGAUUCGUCCCUCCCCCUCCAAUCCAAUAAUUUUCUAACUUUUCCGAUUAGAGGUUCACUCCUACCUUGAUGCUAUAUUAUAAUUUGCAAAUGACAUAUAUACGCGACGGGGUAUUGUAAGUGGCAGAGUGGCCUUGCUGCGACGAUCCACUAAGAUUCAGCCCUUUGUCGCUCUGAUUCGUCCCUCCCCCUCCAAUCCAAUCAUUUUCUAACUUUUCUAAUAAGAGGUUCACUCCUACCUUGAUGCUAUAUUAUACUAAGUGUUGGAAAAAUCGAACAAGUCUUCAAGACCUUGGAACGUAUACUAUUUGUGCAUUAAGUGGACAAUGUGACUUUACACUUAGUCACGUCGAGGAAAAUACCAAUCCACGCUAUAGUACUAGAGGCUUUCCAGGGUGUCGCUUGAGAGGCCAAGUCCAAUGAAACGAGCGCAAGGCGUGGCCAUGGUACGAGCCAGGACGUGUCAGUACGUCGCAGGACAUGGCAGGACACGGGUCGGGAUGUGUCAGGACGUCGCAUGACACGGCAGGGCGUAGCCAUGGCACGAGUCAGGACGUCGCAGGACGAGUCAGGAUAAGGCCAUGGCACGGGUCAUAACAUGCCAUGGCACGUGUCAGGACGCGUCAGGUUAUGGCAGUGGAACGUGUAAGGAUACGUCAGGAUACGGCAGCGGCACGUGUCAGGACACGCCGGGACAUGGCAGUGGCACGUGUUAGGACAUGCCAGGACACGUCAGGACAUGGCAGGACAUGGUAGGGAAUGGCAAUAGCAUGACUCAUGACGUCGCAGGACAUGGUAGGGCGUGGCCAUGUCACGAGUCGGGACGUCGCAGGACAUGGCAGGGCGUGACCAUGGCACGAAUCAGGCCGUCGCAGGACAUGGCAGGACGUGGCCAUGGCAUGACUCCUGACGUUGCAGGGCAUGGCAGGGCGUGGCUAUGGCACGAGCCAGGACGUGUCAGGACAUGGCCAUGGCACGUGUCAGGACGCGGCAGGACAUUGCAGGGCGUGGCCAUGGCAUGAGUCAGGACGUCGCAGGACAUGGCAGGAUAUGGCCAUGGUAGGUGUCAGGACGUGUCACGACAUGGCCAUGGUACGUGUCAUGACAUGGCCAUGGCACGUGUCAGGACGCGUCAGGACAUGGCCAUGGUACGUGUCAGUACGUCGUUCAAACCCCUUAUUUGUGCUUUGCGGGGCUUGUCUUGGCUUUGCAAUGUUGGCAUCGGCAACAACACAUCGCUGCACGUCACGUGUUGGGGCUGGUGUUGGAUUUGUAUCGGCGAGGCAAGUGUACGUGCGGCACAUGAGUGGUGUUCGGCUUGUGUGGCUAGGUUGGAUCCCUGCUCGAGCAGGGACGUCGCAAGACAUGGCAGGAUAUGGUCAUGGUACAUUUCAGGACGUGUCAGGACAUGGCCAUGGCACGUGUCAGGACGUCGCAGGACGCGUCAGGACACGGCCAUUAGUGCAAAUCUUGGUGGUAAUAGCAAAUAAUCAAAUGAGAACUUUGAAGGACGAAGAGGGGAAAGGUUCCAUGUGAACGAAAAUUGCACAUGGAUAACUGGCUUGUGGCAGCCAAGCGUUCAUACCGACGUUGCUUUUUGAUCCUUCGAUGUCGGCUCUUCCUAUCAUUGUGAUGCAGAAUUCACCAAAUGUUGGAUUGUUCACCCACCAAUAGGGAACGUGACCUGGGUUUAGAUCUACGUGAGACAGGUUAGUUUUACCCUACUGAUGACAGUGUCGCAAUAGUAAUUCAACCUAGUACGAGAGGAAACGUUGAUUCGUACAAUUGGUCAUCGCGCUUGGUACAAACGCCAGUGGCGCGAAGCUACCGUGCGCUGGAUUAUGAC
rnacentral:lncRNA from 1 species